UUCAUCAUAAAGAAAAGGCAAAUAGUAGGGAACCCCCCUUUAUAUUUGCACCAUAAUUGGAACGCCUUAAUCAACGCACAUGAGAAAGGGUGAAUUUAUGAAGGCGCCACCUUAAUAUGCUUUAACAUAAUCAAUUCAAAGAUGUUAAACGGAAGCAUGACAUCCAGCUCUCCAAAAAUAAUGUAGUAGUCGGUAAAGCAACAACCCUAGAAGGUGCUGCAGACCCUUAUCCUCCGAUGGGACCUCCGCCCACCAAUGACCUUCAAAAAGGAACAGACACCAAAGACAUCUCCGUGCACCAAACCAUAAUCGGCAAUAUCCGAAGGGAGUUAUAGCUUUGUAAUCCUCCGCAAGUCUUUGUCUCUGUCCACAAAUAGAAAAGGAAGACCGUGAGUGCGGAAUCUGGAAGUCUCUUUUAACCACCACACAAUUUCUGGGUGGGAGGGAGAACACAUCAUAUACGAGAUUAAAGACCUUAUCAUAGACUGAUAAUUCUCGUCCCUUUCAAAAUCAAUAACAACAACAUGAUUUAUCAUCUCAAUCAGAGCAAAAAUAAAACCAUCACCCACUCGUACCCAAAAGUAAAACCAACAUUAUUCCUCAUCCUCAUCUAGAAUACAAUCCAACUCAACAAGCAUUUUAUCAACUUCCUUACAUAAUGAACUCUUAGAGUCAAGAAAAAUCAUGUCUCUCAUUAUUUUGAUGCAAUAAAAAGGCAAAGAAAAACAACAGAGGUUCGUAAGAAAGGAAAAGAAAUCAUACCUAAUCAAAAAAGGAAGAAAAUAAUUGAAAGGCGAAAGGUAGAAGAAAACAUACCUGAUCAAAAAAGGAAGAAAGGAAGAAGAACACAUACUUGAUCAAAACUCGGCAGUUAUGGUCGAACAAUCGAACGGGAUCACCAUAAAAUCUGGAAUCUACUAAGGAAAUAUGAAAAAACAAAAGGAGGUUACUAAGGGAUAAAUUUAUGGUUUCAAUGUGCAACUGAGCUGAGAAGCUAAAAAAGUGGAAAUGAAAAGGUUCCCACCUUUUAAAGACUUUAAAGCGUUUGAGUCAACGCUCCAGAUCAAUUAGGAACCAAAGGCCAUGAUUCAAUGGUUAAAUCAACCACGAUCCCCUAGAAACAUUCGAGUGGUGGAACGCCGAAAUGGAAG
rnacentral:lncRNA from 1 species